ACUCCUACGGGAGGCAGCAGUGGGGAAUUUUGGACAAUGGGCGAAAGCCUGAUCCAGCAAUGCCGCGUGCAGGAUGAAGGCCCUCGGGUUGUAAACUGCUUUUGUACGGAACGAAAAGCCUGGGGCUAAUAUCCCCGGGUCAUGACGGUACCGUAAGAAUAAGCACCGGCUAACUACGUGCCAGCAGCCGCGGUAAUACGUAGGGUGCAAGCGUUAAUCGGAAUUACUGGGCGUAAAGCGUGCGCAGGCGGUUUUGUAAGACAGUGGUGAAAUCCCCGGGCUCAACCUGGGAACUGCCAUUGUGACUGCAAAGCUAGAGUGCGGCAGAGGGGGAUGGAAUUCCGCGUGUAGCAGUGAAAUGCGUAGAUAUGCGGAGGAACACCGAUGGCGAAGGCAAUCCCCUGGGCCUGCACUGACGCUCAUGCACGAAAGCGUGGGGAGCAAACAGGAUUAGAUACCCUGGUAGUCCACGCCCUAAACGAUGUCAACUGGUUGUUGGGUCUUAACUGACUCAGUAACGAAGCUAACGCGUGAAGUGACCGCCUGGGGAGUACGGCCGCACAGGUUGAAACUCAAAGGAAUUGACGG
rnacentral:rRNA from 1 species